GAGCCAUGCGUUGAGCACAAAGCGAUUUAUUCUUUCGCCUUUUAUUAAAGAACACCGUGUGCUCGUCAUUUCUAAGUGGCAUACGCCUUUUUUUUUUAGGGGCGCACCUCUGUGGUGCCCC